GAUGAAGAACGCAGCGAAAUGCGAUAAGUAAUGUGAAUUGCAGAAUCCAGUGAAUCAUCGAAUCUUUGAACGCACAUUGCGCCCGCCAGCAUUCUGGCGGGCAUGCCUGUUCGAGCGUCAUUUCAACCCUCGACCUCCCCUUGGGGAGGUCGGCGUUGGGGACCGGCAGCACACCGCCGGCCCUGAAAUGGAGUGGCGGCCCGUCCGCGGCGACCUCUGCGUAGUAAUACAGCUCGCACCGGAACCCCGACGCGGCCACGCCGUAAAACACCCAACUUCUGAACGUUGACCUCGAAUCAGGUAGGACUACCCGCUGAACUUAAGCAUAUCAAUAAGCGGGGA
rnacentral:misc_RNA from 1 species